rfam:Haemonchus contortus, ISE/inbred ISE, WGS project CAVP01000000 data, contig: Hcontortus_1132
GGCCCAAAUUUGAAGUAGAGUAGAUCCGAAGGAUCAUCUGACUCUACUAAACUACUCUACUUUGAAUUUGUGCCC